rnacentral:rRNA from 1 species
GGGCCCGCACAAGCAGUGGAGCAUGUGGUUUAAUUCGAUGCAACGCGAAGAACCUUACCAGGCCUUGACAUCCUCGGAACUUUCUAGAGAUAGAUUGGUGCCUUCGGGAACCGAGUGACAGGUGCUGCAUGGCUGUCGUCAGCUCGUGUCGUGAGAUGUUGGGUUAAGUCCCGUAACGAGCGCAACCCUUGUCCUUAGUUGCCAGCACAUUAUGGUGGGAACUCUAAGGAGACUGCCGGGGUCAACUCGGAGGAAGGUGGGGAUGACGUCAAAUCAUCAUGCCCCUUAUGUCUUGGGCUUCACGCAUGGCUACAAUGGCCGGUACAGAGGGCUGCCAAUACCGCAAGGUGGAGCGAA